UACGUAGGGUGCAAGCGUUGUCCGGAAUUAUUGGGCGUAAAGAGCUCGUAGGCGGUCUGUCGCGUCGGCUGUGAAAUCCCGAGGCUCAACCUCGGGUCUGCAGUCGAUACGGGCAAACUAGAGUAUUGCAGGGGAGAUUGGAAUUCCUGGUGUAGCGGUGAAAUGCGCAGAUAUCAGGAGGAACACCGGUGGCGAAGGCGGGUCUCUGGGCAAUAACUGACGCUGAGGAGCGAAAGCGUGGGGAGCGAACAGG
rnacentral:rRNA from 1 species